rnacentral:rRNA from 1 species
UACGGAGGGUGCAAGCGUUAUCCGGAUUCACUGGGUUUAAAGGGUGCGUAGGCGGGCAGGUAAGUCAGUGGUGAAAUCUCCAAGCUUAACUUGGAAACUGCCGUUGAUACUAUCUGUCUUGAAUACUGUGGAGGUGAGCGGAAUAUGUCAUGUAGCGGUGAAAUGCUUAGAUAUGUCACAGAACACCGAUUGCGAAGGCAGCUCACUAAAGUGUAACUGACGCUGAGGCACGAAAGCGUGGGGAUCAAACAGG